rnacentral:rRNA from 1 species
AUUGAACGCUGGCGGCAUGCUUUACACAUGCAAGUCGAACGGUAACAGGCCUUCGGGUGCUGACGAGUGGCGAACGGGUGAGUAAUGCAUCGGAACGUACCCAGAGGUUGGGGAUAACGCAGCGAAAGCUGUGCUAAUACCGCAUGUGAUCUGAGUAUGAAAGCGGGGGACCGAGCAGCAAUGUUUGGCCUCGCGCCUUUGGAGCGGCCGAUGUCGGAUUAGCUAGUUGGUGGGGUAAAGGCCUACCAAGGCGACGAUCCGUAGCUGGUCUGAGAAGACGACCAGCCACACAAUGACUGAGACACGGCCCAGAAUCCUACGAGAGGCAGAAGUGGGGAAUUGUGAACAAUGGGCGCAAGACUGAUAGAGCAAUGCCGCGUGAGGGAAGAAGGCGUUGGGGUUGUAAACCGCUUUUGGGAGGAACGAAACGGUGUACGCUAAGACCGAGCGCAAAUGACGGUACCUGCAGAAUAAGCAAAGGCUAACUAAGUG